rnacentral:rRNA from 1 species
GGACCAUCAUGUCGGUCGUGCCUCGGUACGUACUGGUAUUGUUGGUUUCUGCCUUCUGACGAACCAUGAUGUCAUUUAUUUGGUGUUGUGGGGAAUCAGGACUGUUACUUUGAAAAAAUUAGAGUGUUCAAAGCAGGCAUAGGCUUGAAUACAUUAGCAUGGAAUAAUGAAGUAGGACGUUUGAUUCUAUUUUGUUGGUUUCUAAGAUCGACGUA